GAUGAAGAACGCAGCGAAAUGCGAUAAGUAAUGCGAAUUGCAGAAUUCAGUGAGUCAUCGAAUCUUUGAACGCACCUUGCGCUCCUUGGUAUUCCGAGGAGCAUGCCUGUUUGAGUGUCAUUAAUAUAUCAACCUUCUCUUUUUUGAGUUGUUUGGAUGUGGGGGUUUGCUGGCCUCUUAAAUGAUUCAGCUCCCCUGAAAUGCAUUAGCAGAACAACCUGUUCAUUAGCGUGAUAAUUAUCUAUGCUAUUGAAUGUGAGGGCAGUUCAGCUUUCUAACCGUCCUUGGACAAUUCAUCAUUAAUGUGACCUCAAAUCAGGUAGGACUACCCGCUGAACUUAAGCAUAUCAAUAAGCGGAGGA
rnacentral:misc_RNA from 1 species